CCUACGGGGUGCAGCAGUGGGGAAUAUUGGGCAAUGGGCGCAAGCCUGACCCAGCAACGCCGCGUGAAGGAAGAAGGCUUUCGGGUUGUAAACUUCUUUUCUCAGGGACGAAGAAAGUGACGGUACCUGCGGAAUAAGCCACGGCUAACUACGUGCCAGCAGCCGCGGUAAUACGUAGGUGGCAAGCGUUAUCCGGAUUUAUUGGGUGUAAAGGGCGGGUAGGCGGGAGCGCAAGUCAGAUGUGAAAACUCAGGGCUCAACCCUGGGCCUGCAUUUGAAACUGUGUUUCUUGAGUGCUGGAGAGGCAAUCGGAAUUCCGGGUGUAGCGGUGAAAUGCGUAGAUAUACGGAGGAACACCAGUGGCGAAGGCGGAUUGCUGGACAGUAACUGACGCUGAGGCGCGAAAGCGUGGGGAGCAAACAGGAUUAGAUACCCCAGUAGUC
rnacentral:rRNA from 1 species